rnacentral:rRNA from 1 species
GAUGAACGCUGGCGGCGUGCCUAAUACAUGCAAGUCGAGCGAACAGACGAGGAGCUUGCUCCUUCGACGUUUGCGGCGGACGGGUGAGUAACACGUAGGUAACCUACCUAUAAGACUGGGAUAACUUCGGAACAACGGCGCUAACACCGUAUAAUAUUUCGAACCGCAUGGUUCGAUAGUGAAAGAUGAAUUUGCUAUCACUUAUAGAUGGACCUGCGCCGUAUUAGCUAGUUGGUAAGGUAACGGCUUACCAAGGCAACGAUACGUAGCCGACCUGAGAGGGUGAUCGGCCACACUGGAACUGAGACACGGUCCAGACUCCUACGGGAGGCAGCAGUAGGGAAUCUUCCGCGAUGGGCGAGAGCCUGACGGAGCAAAGUCGCGUGAGUGAUGAAGGUCUUCGGAUCGUAAAACUCUGUUAUUAGGGAAGAACAAACGUGUAAGUAACUGUGCACGUCUUGACGGUACCUAAUCAGAAAGCCACGGCUAACUACGUG